CCUACGGGGGGCUGUAGUGAGGAAUAUUGGUCAAUGGACGAGAGUCUGAACCAGCCAAGUAGCGUGAAGGAUGACUGCCCUAUGGGUUGUAAACUUCUUUUAUAUGGGAAUAAAACGUUCCACGUGUGGGAUUUUGUAUGUACCAUAUGAAUAAGGAUCGGCUAACUCCGUGCCAGCAGCCGCGGUAAUACGGAGGAUCCGAGCGUUAUCCGGAUUUAUUGGGUUUAAAGGGAGCGUAGGUGGAUUGUUAAGUCAGUUGUGAAAGUUUGCGGCUCAACCGUAAAAUUGCAGUUGAAACUGGCAGUCUUGAGUACAGUAGAGGUGGGCGGAAUUCGUGGUGUAGCGGUGAAAUGCUUAGAUAUCACGAAGAACUCCGAUUGCGAAGGCAGUUCACUGGACUGCAACUGACACUGAGGCUCGAAAGUGUGGGUAUCAAACAGGAUUAGAUACCCCAGUAGUC
rnacentral:rRNA from 1 species